rnacentral:rRNA from 1 species
CCUUACGGCCAUACCAGCCUGAAAGCGCCCAAUCUCGUCAGAUCUCGGAAGCUCAGCAGGGUCGGGCCUGGUUAGUACUUGGCUGGGAGACUGCCUGGGAAUGCCAGGUGCUGUAAGAA